CUCACACAGGUGCUCAAGAGAGGGGCCUUAAAGGCAGGUGUUCCAGGAACAGAAAGGAAGAGGCAGAUCCUUGCCUGGAAAGUACUGGACCCAGUGCCCUAUGUCUAUUCAGCAGCCACAAGAUGGAUACACUGCAAUUGGGUAAGACAGAAAAUGCAUGGCAACUGGCAGUAGGAAUUUUGGAAUUGAAGAGCCCAACCCUCCUUCCAUUUAAAUCAUCAGCUUUAACACCUAGGCACAAAG